rnacentral:lncRNA from 10 species
AAAACUGUAGACGCUUAGGUUUGGGCUGGGUUAAGAGUCCAGAUGAAGGUUGAAAUAGGAUUCCAGGAUGCCGUGAGAGAGCAAAGCUUUAGAAUCAGACCUCAGUUUGAAUCUUUGGCGCUUUCAUUCAGUGGCUGCGUGACCUGAGGAAGUCACAACCACGCUGAGCCUCAAUGUCCUCAUCUGUAAAAUGGAGAUCAUAGUAUCGGUUGUCUUACAGGAUUGUGGCAAAAUACCGAGCUAAAGUUCCUGGCACGCAGUACCAGCUCAGGAAAGGUUCAUCUCUUCCUCCUCCGCAGAUUCAGCCUGGGACGCUUGCUGUUUCCGAACCUCUGUUGCCACCUAUCCCAGUUUGGAGGGAAUUUUCCCAAGGAUGGUGAAGAAGGGAUUUCCACACGCCGCCUCACUCAGCCCCGCACCCCUGGCCACCAGCCAGGACUUAGGGUGUAGUUAAGGAUCUUUCAAUUAGAAGGGAGGCUUCUGAUUCCCAAAAGCACUCAAAAUAUUUAAGGAAGUGCUUUUUAUAAUCAGUCCUAGAGCCUUGCUGCACUGGAUACUCCUGUUAAUUAAUUUCUUCUCCUUUGACAUUUUAAGUGCUAAUUAUAGGAGAAGGUGAUUAACACUGAGAAAGGAGGAGGGGUGUGUGUGUGUGUGUGUGUGUGUGUGUGUGUGUUUUUAAUCAUGACACAAAUUUCCCCCAGUGGAAAGUGACAUGUUUCUGGAGAUCCAGGGAAUUUAAACCAAUGAAUACAUAAAAACAGUCACAUGAGUGAUGACUAACAGUAGCAGUAGACAGGCCACCACUCUUCCUUGCCAUAGUCAUCCAAAAUGAAAUGAGCAUCUUUUGAAAACCUAAGCCUCAUUCUACUCCUGUCCCUCUUUUGUCACUCCUAUCUUCCUGUUUUCCAGGCUUCAUGACCACACUGCUGUAGGAAGCCAUAAGUUGGAAAUCAACGGGCCUGGCUUGAAGUGUGGCCUUAGGCAACACCGUUCUCAUCUACAUCUGGAUUCUCCAACAAAGCUGGGAAAAAAACGAUCCAAGGGAAGCCAAUCAAAGAGCCUGGAUUGCCAGUCUUCCCUGCUGCGAUCUCCGCCUGCGAUUCUCCAGGGGAAAUGUCCUUUAUGACCUUACAGCUCACCUGGAACCCUCCACCUAGGGCCCGAGGCAGCACAUCCUCUCGUGCCCGGGCACUUCCAGGCAUUGCCCUGAGUACUGGGCACUUCACACACUGGGCUGGACCACUCACCGGAGUGAAUAAGGAGGCUUGAAGCUGUCCUGGUACAACAAUGGAAUGAAGCGCUAGUCUCAGCUCAGCCACUUGGAAUAUGACUCCAACUCUCACAUUUCUGUGGGGUGUAUUCAUUUCAGCUUUUUGUUUGGUGCUAUGGGGAGGGAAGGGCCCUCAGACUGGCAUCCUUUUUCUUCCAGGAUGAUGAUGAAUAUUAUGAAAGUCUGAGGCUGUUUUUAAAAUUCUGCUCUAAUACGUUGUUUUUCUGUGCAUAAGAAUUAUGUAUUCUUAGCUGCAAAACUGGAAUCCGUCUGCUCAUGGAUAAACUUCUGGCCAUGAGCAUGUACCUUUCAGGUAACUUCCCUAUCAGAGAAGCUUACAAUCAAGAAUCCUACUUCCCUAGUUCCCUACACAGGCCCAGGAGGCUUUUGGUGGUAUCCGCUGGACUUUUGAAAAUUAGGGAAUUUCUCCUACUCUGAACUCUACCAGGAAUCACAUAUCAAGAUCUCAGUACCAUCUUACCUAGACCCUCUUGACCUCUUCUUUCUCCAUAAUCUCUUUCUAGCUCAUGUCAUCCAGACUCGAGGGCCCCAUUCUCAGUUUGACACUGAGGACACCCACGCUAUUAUCUCUGGCUGUGACCUUUCCCACGAGCUCCAAAUUCACACCAUCUUUUGACGUCUCCACUUAACUUCCCCAUUUCGGUGUCUCAAACUUGACAAUUCAAAACAGAACUCCCUCCCACUUCCAAACUGGUUUCCUACCCAACUUUCCCAGGCCCCCAGUUUCUCAAGUCAGAAAUCUAUGAGUCAUCCUUGAUGUUUGCCAUUCCCUCAUCCCUCCCAUCCAACCCAUUCGUAGGCUCUUGGGAAUCUACCUCCAAAAUGUCUCUGGAAUCCAUCCUCUUCUCUCCACCUCCACUGCCAACCGCCUCUCACCUGCAAUAGCUCUGAGGCAGCCUCCCCACUUCUUCUGCCUCCCAUCCCCACCCCUACAUAUUCCUGUCCUAUCUCCACCCAGAAGCAAACAAGAUCUUCUUUAACUGUAAAUUGGUUCACAUCUCCCCUGCUUAGAACUUUCCAAGGCCUUGACAUUAUUCCAAGAUCAAGACCAAACUCUUGACUGUGGCCAGUGAGACCUUUCCUGAACUGGUCCUACCUACCUCUGCAAACCCAUCUAGUGACACCUUUCCCUUAGCUUGCCUCCAACAUAGUGUAUUAGUUUCCUAUGGCUGCUGCAGGAAAUGACACAAAUUAUCCCCUUAUAGUCGUGGAAGCCAGAAGUCCAAAAUGGGCUGGAGCCAAGGCAGGCAGGGCUAUGCUGCUUGCAGAGGUUCUAGGGGAGAAUCUAUUUCUUGGUCUUCUUUGGCUUCUAGAGCUGCAAUCCUUGGCUCAUGGCGCCUUCCUCCACCUUCAGAGCCAGCAGUGUAGCAUCUUACUUGGUGAUCACAUUUCUUUCUUCUCCAGUGUCAUAUUUCCCUUUGCUUUACAUUGUCCUUUAAAUUUCUCUUAUAAGGAAACUGCGAUUGCAUUUAAGACCCACCCAGGUAAUCCAAGAUGAUCUUCCCAUCUCAAGACCCUUAACUGAAUCCCACCUCCAAAGUCCCUUUUGCCAGGUAAGGCAACAUUCCCAGGUCCCGGGGAUUAGGAUCUACAUAUGUUCGGGAGUGACUAUUGAGCCUACCAUGCAUACCACGCUCCUUCCCUCACCAGGGUCUUUGUACCUCUUGUCCCCCAUUACUAGAAUGCUCCCUUCUUCCCUCUCACUCUUUGCUUGGCCAUAUCUUUCUCAUUCUUGGGGACACAGCUUACCUGGCACCUCCUCAGACAACCUGUCUCGGACCAGCCCCUUAACAGCCUGAAGACUUUUUUUUUUUUUUUUUUGAUACGGAGUCUUGCUCUGUUGCCCAGGCUAGAGUGCAGUAGUGUGAUCUCAGCUCACUGCAACCUCUGCCUCCCGGGUUCAAGCAGUUCUCCUGCUUCAACCUCCCAAGUAGCUGGGAUUACAGGCACCUGCUACCAUGCCCGGCUAAUUUUUGUAUUUUUAGUAGAGACAGGGUUUCACCAUGUUGGCCAGGCUGGUCUCGAACUCCCGACCGCAAGUGAUCUGCCCACCUUGGCCUCCCAAAGUGCUGAGAUUACAGGCAUGAGCCACAGUGCCUGGAUGAAGACUUUUUCAUGUCUUUUUCAACUGACUUGUUUUCUGCCUGCCUCUCCCUCCACCCUCACCUAAGCACCUUGAGGACCAUGUCUGUUUUGUCAAUCCACUGGUCAUCCUAAUAUAACUGGUUAAUAAAUCAUUGCUGAAUUUAUUUAUUUAUUUAUUUAUGACAGUCUCGCUGUGUCGCCCAGGCUGGAGUGCAGUGGCAUGAUCUCAGCUCACUGCAACCUCCUCCUCCAAGAUUCAAGCGAUUCUCCUGCCUCUGCUUCCCAAGUAGCUGGGAUUACAGGCGUGCGCUGCCACACCCAGCUAACUUUUUUUUUUCUUCUUCUAUUUUUAGAGACAGGGUUUUGCCAUGUUGGCCAGGCUGGUCUUGAACUUCUGACCUCAAGUGAUCCAGCUGCCUCAGCCUCCCAAAGUGCUGAGAUUACAGGCAUGAGCCACCAUGCCUGGCCUCAUUGCUGAAUGAAUUUAAAGAUGACAAACUGACAACCCAAUACAGUGCUAUGCAAAUGGGCUGCUGUGUGUACUCCUCAGCGAAAGGAGACUCAACACCACCUUCCUCCUGAUCUGCUGUAUCAGAAACAAUGGUCUGGGCAGAACAGGGCACCAAUCACAAAGAAAACCCAUAGACACACUCCCAUGCAGGGUCCAGGGAGAUGCCACACCACCGAGUCAGCCAGACGCAAAACCUUUCAAGGAAGUAGGAUUUUACCUUGCUGGGUGACCACCUGAUCCCUUGCUUAUUAAACGCAGCUAAGCACUAUUUUAACACAAGGCCUGCAUGAGAGGCUGCUCGCUGUGGAGAGCCAGCCAUAAGUAAACCUUCUCCAUCCUUCUGUUAAAGACUCCUGGAGCCACUUUGAGGGAAUCGAGGGGGGCCAAGGGGCCUUUUCACAUGUGUUGCAGCCUUUUAGGCUGGGUACGGGGAGGCUCCUGCACAGCUGAAAACUUCACGGGGUUAAACUUUUCUAAACUGAAGCCAAAAGUGUUUUGAUUGCCUGGCUAUUUUCUAAGAAUUGCUUUUGCCUUAAGCUAUACAUUAUCGGGUUGAAAACAUCAUUUUCCUCCGCUUCAAGUAGAAAAUUGUGCUUUAAAAUUUGACAAGUUUUAGUAAUAUUUUUAUUUUUUAUUUUCUUUAUUUAUUUGAGAUGGAGUUCCACUCUUGUUGCCCAGGCUGGAGGACAACGGUGUGAUCUUGGCUCACUGCAACCUCCACUAUUUUUAGUAGAGACAGGGUUUCUCCAUGUUGGUCAGGUUGGUCUCAAACCCCCAACCUCAGGUGAUCUGCCCACCUCGGCCUCCCAAAGUGCUGGGAUUACAGGCGUGAGCCACUGUGCCCAGCCAGAAUAUUUUUAAAUGUUUGGUCACAAGGAAGAUGGCUGUUUUGACUCAACAGUUUAUUCCCCUCUGAUUAUUUACAGCAUAAAGUUCACGGCCAUGUUGUCUAUAAGAGUAUAAACUUAAGACAGUAAAACAAAGUGACCUAUAAAUAUUAACCAGUUUUCACACAUCAUAAUGUUUAAAAUAAUAACAUUUGCACAGCAUCUGACAAUUUACAAAGGCUUCAACAUACAUCAUUUUGAAUAAUCCAGGAAGACAUUUGCUUUGAAGGAACGGCCUAAUUUUUUUUCCUGUAAACUUUCAAUCCAUAACUGUACAUCCUAAAGCAUUCUGGCACAAAUGAAAUGGAACUGCCUCUUGUGGGUCUAUUUCAGAAGUCUGUUGUCAGAGUUCAGUUCACAGGCAUCAACCAGAAGCCUAGUGAGGCCGUUUGAAAUUCUGGCCCAGAUUAAUUUUUUAAAGCUGCAUUUGGAGCUUUUUAAAGUCGAGCUGUUUCCAAAGGCUUAACUGAAGAGUAACUGAUUUCACUGGAAAUAAAAGUCCACAUGUGAUCCCAGCUGGAGUGUGGUCAUAUUUUUCUUGCAAACCUAGAAUGUCUUGGGGAACAAACGGCUGUCACGUGUCCCCUUCCAAAAAUGUCUUAAACACCGGAAAGGAGGGCAGGCUAAGGUGUAGCCCUUCCCACCCUGGGUGCCAGGGUUGGGGGUGCUGUAAGUGAAAUAUCAAAGCUGAGGUCACUAAUAUUCUGAAUUUCAGCCUCAGAGGAAGGAGCGUGUGCAGGAGUCCAGGAGGAGGGGAGGAACCAGAGACGGGGAAUGGCCUGGAUGGAUGAGUCGAGACAUGGGGAAAGCUGCUUCCUGAAUUAUGUGUUCUGUGUACUCCUCUUCAUCAGAGCAGUGGUAAGGGGUCUUUUGUGAGAGGCCGGGCCUCUCCACCAAAAGGCACUCAGUUAACAAGCACAUCCAUGGGCCCCACUGACCCACACGGAAGCCUGGGAGGAUCAGCAGAGGCCAGUCCCAUACUAUGGAGGAGGGGCUGUCCUUGUACAUCCUGGGAUUGAAUCUUGGGAAGAAGUCAAUGGCAAAAGUAGGCUUGGGAAAAGUCUAUCCUGGAGGGCACUGAUGCUCCCUCCUCUGCCAGAAUAAAGGUGACCUAUGGUGUUCCCAGAAAACAAGUUCAGCCUUAGGCAGGACAGGGCUCAUUUUGAAGAGGCUGCCAACACAUGUCACCCAGCCUCUGGGGCCCAAACUCACAGCCUGCUCACAAACAAACUGAGACGAACAUCCUCCCGGAGACUUCAAAGCAAGAGUCUGGUGUCCCUGCAGCCGAGCUUGUCAACCUCCUCUAGAGAGAAAGUGUUCCCUCGGAGCCUAAAGCAGAUCAAGUGAACAGAGGUUUGAGUGAGGACAAAAUUAGAGCAGGGCUUUCAAACAAAA